UUUAUUCACUUUGUCGCAGCAUCUGUCUGAUAGGAAGACAAAACUGUUACCUACAGCAAAAGCUACAGAAAAAUCUUUACUUCAGUGUAGAUAUCUUUUCCUGCUCUGGUCACUCCACACCAAUAUCCCCCAGCAUCACCAAAAUGAAGAUCGGUGAUGGUCACUGCGACGACUCUUGCUCUUUUGUCAUCGUACUUCUGGUAUCUCUCAUAUCCUGGAUCAUACGGACAGGAAACCGUCACAUCGCUCCCCUCAUAUCCGAACACGCGGAUCAAACCUGCAGCGCUGCUCACACAACUCAGAGCUGCUGCAGAGAGAAGACAAUUUUAACCAAGUUGUCAUGUAUCUGUUUCUCUUUAACACUGUGUAUAAUUCUCAGAUCUAUUCCCAUGAAAUAAAUGCAAUGAAAAGCU